rnacentral:rRNA from 1 species
GAUGAACGCUGGCGGCGUGCCUAAUACAUGCAAGUCGAGCGAACGGACGAGAAGCUUGCUUCUCUGAUGUUAGCGGCGGACGGGUGAGUAACACGUGGAUAACCUACCUAUAAGACUGGGAUAACUUCGGGAAACCGUAGCUAAUACCGGAUAAUAUUUUGAACCGCAUGGUUCAAAAUUGAAAGACGGUCUUGCUGUCCCUUAUAGAUGAAUCCGCGCUGCAUUAGCUAGUUGGUAAGGUAACGGCUUACCAAGGCAACGAUGCAUAGCCGACCUGAGAGGGGGAUCGGCCAAACGGGAACGGAGACACGGUCCAGACUCCUACGGGAGGCAGCAGUAGGGAAUCUUCCGCAAUGGGCGAAAGCCUGACGGAGAAACGCCGCGUGAGUGAUGAAGGUCUUCGGAUCGUAAAACUCUGUUAUUAGGGAAGAACAGAUGUGGAAGUAACUGUGCACAUCUUGACGGUACCUAAUCAGAAAGCCACGGCUAACUACGUG